rnacentral:rRNA from 1 species
AUUGAACGCUGGCGGCAGGCUUAACACAUGCAAGUCGAGCGGAGAUGAGGUGCUUGCACCUUAUCUUAGCGGCGGACGGGUGAGUAAUGCUUAGGAAUCUGCCUAUUAGUGGGGGACAACAUUCCGAAAGGAAUGCUAAUACCGCAUACGAUCUACGGGCGAAAGCAGGGGAUGAUCGGACCUUGCGCUAAUAGAUGAGCCUAAGUCGGAUUAGCUAGUUGGUGGGGUAAAGGCCCACAAAGGCGACGAUCUGUAGCGGGUCUGAGAGGAUGAUCCGCCACACUGGGACUGAGACACGGCCCAGACUCCUACGGGAGGCAGCAGUGGGGAAUAUUGGACAAUGGGGGGAACCCUGAUCCAGCCAUGCCGCGUGUGUGAAGAAGGCCUUAUGGUUGUAAAGCACUUUAAGCGAGGAGGAGGCUACUGAGACUAAUACUCUUGGAUAGUGGACGUUACUCGCAGAAUAAGCACCGGCUAACUCUGUGCCAGCAGCCGCUGUAA